rnacentral:rRNA from 1 species
UACGAAGGGGGCUAGCGUUGUUCGGAAUCACUGGGCGUAAAGGGCGCGUAGGCGGCCGAUCAAGUCGGGGGUGAAAGCCUGUGGCUCAACCACAGAAUUGCCUUCGAUACUGUUUGGCUUGAGACCGGAAGAGGUAAGUGGAACUGCGAGUGUAGAGGUGAAAUUCGUAGAUAUUCGCAAGAACACCGGUGGCGAAGGCGGCUUCCUGGCCCGUACCUGACGCUGAGGCGCGAAAGCGUGGGGAGCAAACAGG